GACGAACGCUGGCGGCGUGCUUAACACAUGCAAGUCGAACGAUGAAGCAGGAGCUUGCUCCUGUGGAUUAGUGGCGAACGGGUGAGUAACACGUGAGCAAUCUGCCCUUGACUCUGGGAUAACUGCGGGAAACUGUAGCUAAUACCGGAUAUGAACCCUUGGGGCAUCCCAGGGGUUGGAAGAAUUUCGGUCAAGGAUAAGCUCGCGGCCUAUCAGCUAGUUGGUGAGGUAAUGGCUCACCAAGGCGACGACGGGUAGCCGGCCUGAGAGGGUGACCGGCCACACUGGAACUGAGACACGGUCCAGACUCCUACGGGAGGCAGGAGUGGGGAAUAUUGCACAAUGGGCGAAAGCCUGAUGCAGCAAUGCCGCGUGAGGGAUGAAGGCCUUCGGGUUGUAAACCCCUUUUAGCAGGGAAGAAGCGAAAGUGACGGUACCUGCAGAAAAAGCACCGGCUAACUACGUGCCAGCAGCCGCCGUAA
rnacentral:rRNA from 1 species